rnacentral:rRNA from 1 species
UUUUAAGUGUUAAUUUAUUUUCUUAGGUAGUAUUAGUUAUGUUCUUGAAACCUAAAGAAUUUGGCGGUACCUUAUUCCGAUCAGAGGAAUCUGCCCUGUUAUCGAUAAUCCGCGUUGUACCUUACUUAGUUGUUUAUUGUUUGUAUACCGCCGUAUAUUGAUUAUCAUUUUAGUGUUUAAAUUUUCUUGAUUCAUGAUUUUGUUUCAUUUCAGGUCAAGGUGCAGCUUGUGUCUAAGUGUGAGGUGGAUUACAUUAAUUAUUUUGUUUGUUGGAUUAUUUGUUGUUAGAUUUUUAUGAAAUUGGAUUUGAUUGUAAUGUUUAGAUGAAGAUUGUUCUCAUGAUAUUUGGUUCUAAGGUAUGU